UUCACUUUGAAUCUGACCUCAAAUCAGGUAGGACUACCCGCUGAACUUAGCAU
rnacentral:rRNA from 1 species